GUAACUCACGGGAGGCUUCUUUUAUUUUAUUUGUAUUCAUAAUCAUUUUUAUUUUUCGUCAGAAUGUAUUAUGGUGCAUUAUUUACCAAUGUUUGUUCUCAAAAAACGGUGCAUUUUUAUUAGAUUAGUUAUUUUUUAAGGAAGGCCAGAGCUUCAGCUGUGUCAAAUAGAUUGUUCCCUUUAGUUUACGUUAUUUAAAAGACAAUUAAAUUCAUAUUUGAUCAUUAAUAGUAAUAAUAAUCAUUUGUUUUAUAACAACGAUAAACCAGAAGAAGAUGCCGUCGUUACCACGGCAACGUUAUGUCGCGCUUGACGGCAGUGACGUAGCCACGUGACCUUGCCCACGAUCACGUCACUUUCAUUCAUUUCAUCUCACAACGGACUACAGUAAGUAUCUAAAAUCAAGGGGAGUUUAUUUCUUUAAAACACGAAAUGAUAUUGCUUUUAUUUAUUCCACUGUAGCACAGUCUCUAUAGCGUUUCAUUCCUGGAUAUUAUGUUAAGUUUUGUAGUGUGUUUAGCUUUUACAAUAGGCUACGCGCAAACUAGCGGCCACGUUCAGCUAGCCUCCGGCUUUCCGGUCAAAGUUUGUAGCUGGAUAGCAUUUAUAGUUUAUACAGCUAAAUGACAUUAGCUGUCCCCGAAAAAUAUGUUUAAAUGCUUGUAUUUGCCCAUGUGUUGUAAAGACAGCUUUCAACACAGAGUUGUAAUAGUGGAAUCGGCGAUGAUUUUUUGUAGUGUGUUUAGCUUUUACAAUAGGCUACGCGCAAGCUAGCGGCCACGUUCAGCUAGCCUCCGGCUUUCCGGUCAAAAGUUUGUAGCUGGAUAGCAUUUAUAUAGUUAUACAGCUUAAUAACAUUAGCUGUCGCCCCCAGUUGGAUAGUGGAGGUGCCUGCUAGAAAAAUAUGUUUAAAUGCUUGUAUUUGCCCAUGUGUUGUAAAGACAGCUUUCAACACAGAGUGUAAUAGUGGAAUCGGUGAUGGAGUGGAACAAAAAAUGUGGACCUGGAGUUUUUCCAGAGGAUUUGACUGGCCAGUGGGGACAUUGGGAUUGUUACAUUGUAGAAUUAAAAUAUAUAGUAGAGGAUAUAAGAUAUAUAAAUUAUACUAAAUAUUAUUGCAUAAUAGAGUAAUGCACAGAUUUAAUUAUUAUUGCACUCUCUUCAUUUUGUGUAUUGUUUGUAAUAUUGUGUCUGUAUUUUUUGUAUGCCAUGUCCCUCAUAAUAUAACAAUAUGCACAGUAUAAAAUUAUACUAAAUUAUUAUUGCAUAAUAGAGUGCACAGAUGUUACUGUUAUUCUAAAUAAUCCUAAUCAUGUUUUAUUUUUCCUGUUUUACAGCUUCUUAACAACUCUAUAUCACUAACACACACAUAUCCACACACACACACACAUAUAAAACCAACGGCACUUUUAAGAGCCAUUCUCUCUCUCUCACUGUCUCUCUUUCUAUCACUCUCUCACUUUCUCUUUCAAUCACUCCUCUCACGCUUCUCUUUUUCAAUACCUCUCUCUCACUUUCUCUUUUAAUCACUCACUCUCUCUUUGUAUGCCAUGGUCCCUCAACCGUGUGAGGGUCUUUGAGGAUCCCAAUGAGGCCAGGAUGCACAUGGCAGCAUUGAUUAGCGAGGCUCUGUGUCCAUGAGGCCAGGGCUACUGAAACCCUUCCAUUCCCUCCGAAAAA